CAGUAGCCGCGGUAAUACAUAGGUGGCAAGCGUUGUCCGGAAUUAUUGGGCGUAAAGGGCUCGCAGGCGGUUUCUUAAGUCUGAUGUGAAAGCCCCCGGCUCAACCGGGGAGGGUCAUUGGAAACUGGGAAACUUGAGUGCAGAAGAGGAGAGUGGAAUUCCACGUGUAGCGGUGAAAUGCGUAGAGAUGUGGAGGAACACCAGUGGCGAAGGCGACUCUCUGGUCUGUAACUGACGCUGAGGAGCGAAAGCGUGGGGAGCGAACAGGAUUAGAUACCCCUGUAGUCCCUGUCUCUUAUAA
rnacentral:rRNA from 1 species